rnacentral:rRNA from 1 species
UACGGAGGAUGCAAGCGUUAUCCGGAAUUAUUGGGCGUAAAGCGUCUGUAGGCGGAUGUUCAAGUCUGCUGUCAAAGACCGGGGCUUAACCGUGAAAAUGCAGUGGAAACUGAAAAUCUAGAGUGAGGUAGGGGCAGAGGGAAUUCCCAGUGUAGCGGUGAAAUGCAUAGAGAUUGCGAAGAACACCGGUGGCGAAAGCGCUUUGCUAGGCCAAAACUGACACUAAGGGACGAAAGCUAGGGGAGCGAAUGGG